GACCACAUGCAGACAUAUUUUCCCGUGUAGCUGUUGUUGAUUUCGUUGGAAAAAAACUAGUUCAGUGGAAACAAAAUGUUUCUUGUUCAGUUGUUUUUCUGAACUUUCUACUUACUUUUUGUACUUAAAAUCAUUGUUAUGGUGGCGAAAAAGUGUGGAAGAAGAGCUCCCUUAGUUCCAAAAUAACGUGAUAUUGGUAAAUUUCGGAUUCUCUUGCAUGCAGCUUCCCGGAUGCACAAAGAAAAAGCAAAGACAAGCUGGUUCAACUUUACAUCGCGCAUAUUUUUUU